rnacentral:rRNA from 1 species
GAUGAACGCUAGCGGGAGGCUUAACACAUGCAAGUCGAGGGGCAGCACGGGUAGCAAUACCUGGUGGCGACCGGCAGACGGGUGAGUAACGCGUAUGUAACCUACCCUGUACAGGGGGAUAACCAGGAGACAUUCGGACUAAUAUCCCAUAGGAAUAUUGAGAGGCAUCUUUUAAUAUUUAAAGUUCCGGCGGUACGGGAUGGGCAUGCGUAACAUUAGCUAGUUGGUAAGGUAACGGCUUACCAAGGCUUUGAUGUUUAGGGGUCCUGAGAGGGUGGUCCCCCACACUGGUACUGAGACACGGACCAGACUCCUACGGGAGGCAGCAGUGAGGAAUAUUGGUUAAUGGGCGCAAGCCUGAACCAGCCAUCCCGCUUGCAGGAAGACGGCCCUAUGGGUUGUAAACUGCUUUUCCAGGGGGAGAAACUUGCGCACGUGUUGCGCAAUUGACGGUACCCUGGGAAUAAGCAUCGGCUAACUCCGUGCCAGCCGCCGCAGUAA